GACGAACGCUGGCGGCGUGCUUAACACAUGCAAGUCGAACGGAAAGGCCCUGCUUUUGUGGGGUGCUCGAGUGGCGAACGGGUGAGUAACACGUGAGUAACCUGCCCUUGACUUUGGGAUAACUUCAGGAAACUGGGGCUAAUACCGGAUAGGAGCUCCUGCUGCAUGGUGGGGGUUGGAAAGGUUCGGCGGUUGGGGAUGGACUCGAGGCUUAUCAGCUUGUUGGUGGGGUAGUGGCUUACCAAGGCUUUGACGGGUAGCCGGCCUGAGAGGGUGACCGGCCACAUUGGGACUGAGAUACGGCCCAGACUCCUACGGGAGGCAGCGGUGGGGAAUAUUGCACAAUGGGCGGAAGCCUGAUGCAGCAACGCCGCGUGCGGGAUGACGGCCUUCGGGUUGUAAACCGCUUUCGCCUGUGACGAAGCGUGAGUGACGGUAAUGGGUAAAGAAGCACCGGCUAACUACGUG
rnacentral:rRNA from 1 species